rnacentral:rRNA from 1 species
UACGGGGGGUGCGAGCGUUGUCCGGAAUCACUGGGCGUAAAGGGCGCGUAGGUGGUCUGAUAAGGGUGUGGUGAAAGCCCGGGGCUCAACCCCGGGUCGGCCGUGCCGACUGUUAGACUAGAGUGCUGUAGGGGCAGGCGGAAUUCCGGGUGUGAGCGGUGGAAUGCGUAGAGAUCCGGAAGAACACCGGUGGCGAAGGCGGCCUGCUGGGCAGUUGCUGACACUGAGGCGCGACAGCGUGGGGAGCAAACAGG